GCCCCAGUGGCCUAAUUGAUAAGGCUCUGGCCUCCUAAGCCAGGGAUUGUGGGUUCGAGUCCCGUCUGGGGUGAUUCA
rnacentral:tRNA from 1 species